GACGAACGCUGGCGGCGUGCUUAACACAUGCAAGUCGAACGGAAAGGCCUGCUUUCCCUUGUGGAUUGCGGGUACUCGAGUGGCGAACGGGUGAGUAACACGUGAGUGAUCUGCCCCCAACUUGGGUAUAAGCCUGGGAAACUGGGUCUAAUUCCCGAUAGGACUGCAGGGUGGUGCCUGUGGUGGAAAACGAUUUUCUAGUGGUUGGGGAUGAGCUCGCGGCCUAUCAGCUUGUUGGUGGGGUAAUGGCCUACCAAGGCGGCGACGGGUAGCCGGCCUGAGAGGGUGGACGGCCACAUUGGGACUGAGAUACGGCCCAGACUCCUACGGGAGGCAGCAGUGGGGAAUAUUGCACAAUGGGCGGAAGCCUGAUGCAGCGACGCCGCGUGGGGGAUGACGGCCUUCGGGUGGUAAACUCCUUUCGACCGCGAGGAAGCCACCUGGUUGGAAGGGUGGUGGCGGUAGUGGUAGAAGAAGCACCGGCUAACUACGUG
rnacentral:rRNA from 1 species